UACGUAGGGGGCAAGCGUUGUCCGGAAUCAUUGGGCGUAAAGCGCGUGUAGGCGGCUCGAUAAGUCUGCUGUGAAAGUCCAGGGCUCAACCCUGGGAUGCCGGUGGAUACUGUCGAGCUCGAGUCCGGAAGAGGCGAGUGGAAUUCCUGGUGUAGCGGUGAAAUGCGCAGAUAUCAGGAGGAACACCAAUGGCGAAGGCAGCUCGCUGGGACGUGACUGACGCUGAGACGCGAAAGUGUGGGGAGCAAACAGG
rnacentral:rRNA from 1 species